rnacentral:rRNA from 1 species
AUUGAACGCUGGCGGCGUGCUUAACACAUGCAAGUCGUGCGGUAACAGGCGUAGCAAUACGUGCUGACGAGCGGCGAACGGGUGCGUAAUACAUGGGAAUCUGCCUUUUAGUGGGGAAUAACCCGGCGAAAGCCGGGCUAAUGCCGCAUAAGAUCUUCGGAUGAAAGCGGGGAGUCGUAAGACCUCGCGCUGAUAGAUGAGCCCACUGCCGGAUUAGCUAGUUGGNGAGGUAACGGCUCACCAAGGCGACGAUCCGUAGCUGGUCUGAGAGGACGGCCAGCCACACUGGGACUGAGACACGGCCCAGACUCCUACGGGAGGCAGCAGUGGGGAAUAUUGGACAAUGGGGAAACCCGUGAUCCAGCGACGCCGCGUGUGUGAAGAAGGCCUGCGGGUUGUAAAGCACUUUCGGUGGGAACGAAAU